rfam:Arthrobacter sp. RIT-PI-e NODE_29_length_38135_cov_24.1284_ID_57, whole genome shotgun sequence.
AAUCAAGAGUUCCAGCCCAUGGCCCUGGCCGGCUGGACAGCAACCCUCUCCCGUAGUGGGGUGCUCCAGGUGAAGAUUCGGCCGCCGGGACAAGUCCCCCGGAUGGCAAGUACGGCUU